UGCAGUCGAACGGUGAAGCAGAGCUUGCUCUGUGGAUCAGUGGCGAACGGGUGAGUAACACGUGAGCAAUCUGCCCCUGACUCUGGGAUAAGCGCUGGAAACGGCGUCUAAUACCGGAUACGAGCUGCGACCGCAUGGUCAGUAGCUGGAAAGAAUUUCGGUCAGGGAUGAGCUCGCGGCCUAUCAGCUUGUUGGUGAGGUAAUGGCUCACCAAGGCGUCGACGGGUAGCCGGCCUGAGAGGGUGACCGGCCACACUGGGACUGAGACACGGCCCAGACUCCUACGGGAGGCAGCAGUGGGGAAUAUUGCACAAUGGGCGAAAGCCUGAUGCAGCAACGCCGCGUGAGGGAUGACGGCCUUCGGGUUGUAAACCUCUUUUAGCAGGGAAGAAGCGAAAGUGACGGUACCUGCAGAAAAAGCGCCGGCUAACUACGUGCCAGCAGCCGCGGUAAUACGUAGGGCGCAAGCGUUAUCCGGAAUUAUUGGGCGUAAAGAGCUCGUAGGCGGUCUGUCGCGUCUGCUGUGAAAACCCGAGGCUCAACCUCGGGCCUGCAGUGGGUACGGGCAGACUAGAGUGCGGUAGGGGAGAUUGGAAUUCCUGGUGUAGCGGUGGAAUGCGCAGAUAUCAGGAGGAACACCGAUGGCGAAGGCAGAUCUCUGGGCCGUAACUGACGCUGAGGAGCGAAAGGGUGGGGAGCAAACAGGCUUAGAUACCCUGGUAGUCCACCCCGUAAACGUUGGGAACUAGUUGUGGGGUCCAUUCCACGGAUUCCGUGACGCAGCUAACGCAUUAAGUUCCCCGCCUGGGGAGUACGGCCGCAAGGCUAAACUCCAAAGGAAUUGACGGGGACCCGCACAAGCGGCGGAGCAUGCGGAUUAAUUCGAUGCAACGCGAAGAACCUUACCAAGGCUUGACAUAUAGAGGAAACGUCUGGAAACAGUCGCCCCGCAAGGUCUCUAUACAGGUGGUGCAUGGUUGUCGUCAGCUCGUGUCGUGAGAUGUUGGGUUAAGUCCCGCAACGAGCGCAACCCUCGUUCUAUGUUGCCAGCACGUAAUGGUGGGAACUCAUGGGAUACUGCCGGGGUCAACUCGGAGGAAGGUGGGGAUGACGUCAAAUCAUCAUGCCCCUUAUGUCUUGGGCUUCACGCAUGCUACAAUGGCCGGUACAAAGGGCUGCAAUACCGUGAGGUGGAGCGAAUCCCAAAAAGCCGGUCCCAGUUCGGAUUGAGGUCUGCAACUCGACCUCAUGAAGUCGGAGUCGCUAGUAAUCGCAGAUCAGCAACGCUGCGGUGAAUACGUUCCCGGGUCUUGUACACACCGCCCGUCAAGUCAUGAAAGUCGGUAACACCUGAAGCC
rnacentral:rRNA from 1 species